ensembl:lncRNA
AUGCAAACCAAUUGGAUGCACAAAUUAGCUAUAGAAACUCUUAUUAGAGAGGUAUAUGGUGUGGGGAGAGGAAGGAUAGAGGUAUAUGGUGAGAGGAGAGGAAGGAUAGAGGUAUAUGGUGAGGGGAGAGGAAGGAUAGAGGUAUAUGGUGAGAGGAGAGGAAGGAUAGAGGUAUAUGGUGAGAGGAGAGGAAGGAUAGAGGUAUAUGGUGAGAGGAGAGGAAGGAUAGAGGUAUAUGGUGUGGGGAGAGGAAGGAUAGAGGUAUAUGGUGUGGGGAGAGGAAGGAUAGAGGUAUAUGGUGUGGGGAGAGGAAGGAUAGAGGUAUAUGGUGAGAGGAGAGGAAGGAUAGAGAGGAGAGGAAGGAUAGAGGUAUAUGGUGUGGGGAGAGGAAGGAUAGAGGUAUAUGGUGAGAGGAGAGGAAGGAUAGAGGUAUAUGGUGUGGGGAGAAGGGGGUGACCUGUUGAGGUUCCCCUGUUCUGCAACUCCUUCUCUCUGUGCUCCAGGUCUGCAGCCUUCCACUCCAGCUCCUCCUGCUGCCUCAGCAGGCUAGCCUGGCCCGCAGCCUCCGUGACCUGGAGGGACAGGAGGAGAGAGGACAGGUGUCAUUUUGGCUUGAAUGUUGGCUGUAUUGUUCACAUACAUACGUGAUAUAACAUUAGGCCAUUCCAUUUCUCAUCACAUGUAACCACAUAAAUAGUUUGAGGUAAACAAUAGAUUACAAUUUGCUCAUGGGUGUGGAGAGGUGUGUCCCUUUCUGGCCAAUCAGCUCGUUUAUGGACCAUAUAUUGGUCCAUUUAAAAGGGAGCUCGUUUUGGCGAACCCUAACCCCCAGAAGCAAAAUCUUCCAUAUAUCUUCCUUAAAAUCAGUAUUGGACAAGUAGACAGUCAAAUAUGGAAAAGGAAAAAGUCCAUAUUUUCAUUCUUAUGUGAAGACAUUGAUGGCUUAUGGUUCCGUUGUAAACUAGUGACCAGCAUCAUCCAGCGUCAUCACUGACCUGUGGGCCGGACUCAAAUCAAAUCAAAUGUAUUUAUAUAGCCCUUCGUACAUCAGCUGAUAUCUCAAAGUGCUGUACAGAAACCCAGCCUAAAACACCAAACAGCAAGCAAUGCAGGUGUAGAAGCACGGGCUCUGUUGACGGCUGCAGCACGGCAGGCUGGGAAGGGAUCCUGGAGGCCGGAAUGGUGGGCCCUGAUAGGCUAACCUGAAACAGGAAAUACACAUGGCAGACUGAGAAAAAGCGGGGCAAAAAAACCCCACACAAUACAGUAAUCUGCGAUCAAAGAGGCAUCAGUCUAUUCAAUGUCAGUUACUGUAGUUUUGAUCAGUGUGUGUGUGUGUGCGUGCGCGCAUGCAGGGGUAAAAAGCAAGUGAUCUUACCGUCUGAUGGUCUGGGAAAGGGUUAAAUUGAUCAAUGUGGUCUACGUCAGAGUUGGUCACUUGUGUAACCGAGGGAUCCUGAAACAAAACAACACAUUUCCUCUUCAGUAUAUGCAACAAUCAGCUCAUUCUCAUUAGCAUUACGUUCAACGUAAUUAUAGUCUCAUUUAAUAGGCCUAUCAAUCCAUUGCAGAAAGAAGGUGUGAUGCAACAAUGGUGGCCUUCACAUGUGACGUUCGUAGCCUUCAAUAACAGAACUCAUAAAAGAGAUUGCUUAUGAAUUAUUGUGAUAUUUCGGAGGCCGAAUAGCUCAAGAAGCUUAUUUUCCUGAAGUAAAAAAAAGUGUAUGGAACGUCAGUCACGGACAACCGCACUCAACCCAGAGUCCAGUUUGUCUUGAUGUGUCAACCCAGAGUCCAGUUUGUCUUGAUGUGUCAACCCAGAGUCCAGUUUGUCUUGAUGUGCAACCAGCGUCCAGUUUGACUGAUGUGUCAACCCAGAGUCCCGUUUGACUUGCUUGUGUGUCAACCCAGAGUCCAGUUUGACUUGAUGUGUCAACCCAGAGUCCAGUUUGACUUGAUGUGUCAACCCAGAGUCCAGUUUGACUUGAUGUGUCAACCCAGGUCCAGUUUGACUUGUGUGUCCAG